rnacentral:rRNA from 1 species
UACGUAGGGGGCAAGCGUUAUCCGGAGUUACUGGGCGUAAAGCGCACGCAGGCGGUCUCUUAAGUUUGGAGUGACAGUUGGUGGCUUAACUGCCAAAGUGCUUCGAAAACUGAGAGACUUGAGGGCUUCAGAGGGACACGGAAUUCCGGGUGGAGUGGUGAAAUGCGUAGAGAUCCGGAGGAACACCAAAGGCGAAGGCAGUGUCCUGGGGAGUACCUGACGCUCAGGUGCGAAAGCCAGGGGAGCGAACGGG